CUCCGUCUGGCGGCUCCGAGUUGCUUAGCGGUAGAGGAGGCGUCAUCCUUUUCCCCUGCAGGGCCACGGAGACCGGAAGGCGGCAUCCACACUUGUCCACGCCGGAGCAUUCGCCGUCCACCGACCGAGCACAGUAACCCUACACAUGGAGUGAUCUGGAGGACAACCAAGACACUUCUAUCAACAGCCCCAGCUGAUUCCCCAGCAGAAGCCAGUACCAGUGCUCAUCCAUGCGAAUGAGCUUUCUUGGAUGUUUUAGCCUAGUGGACCCUCCAGCUGACAACAGCCACAGGUGUCUGAAGGAGACAGGUUCUGAGGAUCAGUGUCCUGUUGACUGAUGGAGCUUCUACUCGAAGUUCAAGGGCAGCAGUCCUCAGGAGACCCCAACACUUCACAUCUUCAGUUGGAUAUGACGCCUAACUCAAGUGUGUGAAGAAGACCGCUUCUGAGGAUCAGUGUCCUGAUGGCUGAUGGAGCUUCUACUUCUACUCUGUUCAAGGGCACGGUCCUCAGCAGACCCCAACACUUCACAUCUUCAGUUGGAUAUGAGGCCUGACUCAAGAUAAAUGGCUGGAUAAUGUGAUGGAUGUGAAGUUAAUGGUAUAAGAAAACACUAAACUUUUCCAAAGUGGGUGCACCAUUUUUCACUGCCAACAGCAGUGUACGAGAGUUCCGUCUUCCACAACCUUGCCAAAACUUUGUAUGCUCUGAGCGACCCAGCCUCGUCUCUGGCCCGGGAUUGAAUCCAUCUCCUCCAGAGGCCAAGAAUCCUGGCAUCUUAUCGUUCAGCAACAACCUUUCAGAGUGAAGAGAUUGGACCCCCAUCAUUGGGACACUUUAGUAUUUCCACUUUUUGAAAGAAUGAGCCUUUUCCCUGGGAUCCUCCAAAGUUGAAGUCAAAGCUAUGGUUUUUCCAGUAGUCAUGUACGGAUGUGAGAGUUCAACUAUAAA